GUUUAACUAUACAAUCAAUAUGACAUUACACCCGUCAUGUUGCAGUAGUUUGUACUACUAGUUAUAUUAGUCAAUGUGUGAUCGCCAAUUAAUCACAGACCUACGGCAUAUUGAGAUAUAAUUGAAGUGGAUAUUUGACUGCAAGUAUACUGUUACUAAUCACUCCAUGUGACAAGUUCUUCCCGUGGGCUAUUAUUCAACUGUGUUCAUUUAGAAAAUCAGUUAAGAAGUAAAUUUCCGCCUCCGUCUACCAGUCUGUGAAUAUUCAAAGGAGUUCCUCUUAUUUUCACAUUCAUAUUACUAGAGUUUUUAAAUAUUUAUGCAGAUGUUGGAUUGUAUUAAGUGUUAGGUCUCAAGUUCUCCGAUCACGGCGGUUCUGUAAAAACACACUCAUUGAGAAUUGAGAAUAUAAUAAACACGAGACAUUUUAUGUGAUAGCAGUAUUGAAUGUUUGGGAUUUAUAUACCGUUAUUCUUGUGUCAGGAAGAAUUGAGUGUUCGUAGUUUUACAAUAUGUGAUAUAAUAAUUGUGCUAAUUAGAGAAAUUAGUUGGCAUAUAACAAUCACUUUUUUAGUAGCAGAUAAUGGGUUCUAAAAAGACUUAAAUGUCAUACUAUAUGAAACUAUUAGAUAACAUUUAUAUAAAAUAAUUUACAGCUUUAACCUAUUAGUGUUAUAUAGCAUUAGCUAAUGAUUAGCAAGGAAUAUCCAGGCUGAAUAAAGCGAGUGUCAGUGAUCUAUUAUGGUGGACAUGACUUAUACAUGUACUCUUUGGAUAUCGCUCUUAUGAACCACAUACAUGUGCGUGGUUCAAGUUAGCUGAUAUUGUAGUUUAGAACAAUAUGGAUGAUAAAGCACACCCUAAACAUCCUAAUGGGAUAAAUAAAGAUGUUAAUAUUGCUGUAUUAGGGAUGAGAAAUGUGGGAAAAUCAGCUUUAAUUGUACGUUAUCUCACCAAAAGAUUUAUAGGAGAUUAUGAUCCAGAAAUGGAUGAUAUAUUUAAACAUACCACCACUAUAGAUAGUAAACAAGUUACUAUACAUAUUAUGGACACAGUUUGGAGUUACACGCAUUCCCAUCACCAAUAUAAAGAAGACCCGAUCACGUGGGCAGAUGGUUUUUUAUUGGUUUAUUCUGUCACAGAUAGAGAUAGUUUUAUUUCUGUUCAAGAAUUAGUUGAAAGUCUUCGAUUAUCUAGGGAAGACGACCG